rnacentral:rRNA from 1 species
CCUACGGGAGGCAGCAGUAGGGAAUCUUCCGCAAUGGACGAAAGUCUGACGGAGCAACGCCGCGUGAACGAUGAAGGCCUUCGGGUCGUAAAGUUCUGUUGUUAGGGAAGAACAAGUGCUAGUUGAAUAAGCUGGCACCUUGACGGUACCUAACCAGAAAGCCACGGCUAACUACGUGCCAGCAGCCGCGGUAAUACGUAGGUGGCAAGCGUUGUCCGGAAUUAUUGGGCGUAAAGCGCGCGCAGGCGGUUUCUUAAGUCUGAUGUGAAAGCCCCCGGCUCAACCGGGGAGGGUCAUUGGAAACUGGGAAACUUGAGUGCAGAAGAGGAAAGUGGAAUUCCAAGUGUAGCGGUGAAAUGCGUAGAGAUUUGGAGGAACACCAGUGGCGAAGGCGACUUUCUGGUCUGUAACUGACGCUGAGGCGCGAAAGCGUGGGGAGCAAAACAGGAUUAGAUACCCUGGUAGUCCACGCUGUAAACGAUGAGUGCUAAGUGUUAGAGGGUUUUCCGCCCUUUAGUGCUGAAGUUAACGCAUUAAGCACUCCGCCUGGGGAUACGGUCGCAAGACUGAAACUCAAAGGAAUUGACGG